CAUUCAUUCUUCCACCCCGUCCGUUCUCGCCUUCGUGUCAAGACCGCCCAGUUGUCACCAAAUGACAUCAAUGGGCGGUCACAUAAAAGAAUUGAGUGUCGCUUUUUCGCGUUCACAAGCUGUCCUGUUUCUAGUAGAGGGGG
ensembl:ncRNA R03D7.14 ncRNA